rnacentral:rRNA from 1 species
GACGGAGGGUGCUAGCGUUGUUCGGAAUUACUGGGCGUAAAGGGCGCGUAGGCGGCCCUGUCAGUCGGGUGUGAAAGCCCGGGGCUCAACCCCGGAACGGCACCCGAGACGGCGGGCUGGAGACCGGGAGAGGAGGGUGGAAUAGCCAGUGUAGAGGUGAAAUUCGUAGAUAUUGGCUGGAACACCGGUGGCGAAAGCGGCUCUCUGGCCCGGUUCUGACGCUGAGGCGCGACAGCGUGGGGAGCAAACAGG